rnacentral:misc_RNA from 1 species
AGCGUCAUUUCCACAAUCAAGCCUUGCUUGGUGAUGGGCGCCUGUCCCACCUCAGUGUGGACUCGCCUCAAAUGCAUUGGCGGCCGGUUACAUUGGCUUCGAGCGCAGCACAUUUGCGAAACUCGGUUCCAUUGUUCCUGGCUCCCAGAAGCUCUCUCCAGUUUGACCUCGGAUCAGGUAGGGAUACCCGCUGAACUUAA